CAACUGGUGGCAAGACGUGGCGGAACCAGCGGUAUCGAGGGAGAUCUGCCGCGAUUAGGCUGCUCCCUUUUGUUUGAUUAGAGCAUUGACUUUCGCUCACUGAAGCUCUCUCUCUCACUCAAGCAGGAAGCCCUUUAUUUCCAAUGUUCGCGGCACGGUGCUUAAAAAGCCAGAAUCUAGGCAUCUGGGUAAAAUAACGAAAAGUCCAGUAGACUCAAAGAAACUCGUUUAAUUUACACAACUCAAAUAUGUAUAGAACGAUGCAAGGGAAAAAGUGAGAGUAAAGGCACUAAAAGUAAAAGUAAUGCAAUAAAAAGUAAAAGUAAUGUAGUAAAGGGUAAAGGUAAAAAUGAAAAAUAUUUUCGCAAAUGACUGGAAAGAUUUCUAUUUACAAUUGGGUAACACAGCCCACACUUGGGCAAUACGUACAAUGAGAACAAACUUUUCACGGCUCACAACAUUUAAUGCAAAAUGUCGAAAGCUACUUCACAGUUCCAUUAACUAUUCAGAACAUGUUAGUGAUAUUUCAAAGUCACAAGGCACAUUUUAACAAUGGGUUUAAUUAAACUUUCACAAAUAGCACUAAUUUUCCUAAAUUCUGGUUUUGUACAAUUUGCGCCAUGUGUGCUGCCGAUUUCUAUUCACAGGCAUGCAGCACUUGAAGAACCUUAAUCACCAGCAAAAUAAAGUUGUUUGGUGCAACCUCAGGGUGUGUGUCACACACCUUGCUUAUGUACAUACAAAGAAUAAUGCUGUCAUGUAAGCGAUAAACCAAGCGGGUGAUAUUAACACUGAUGGAACACACUCUGCAUAUACAGGGUGUUUCAGUAACCAUGUCAAAAUUUGCAAAAUAUGCAAUCAAUAACACUUAUCUGUAGGCAACUAUUGGGAACGAGUAACAUUAUCAAAUUUUAAUAGAAAGAAAUUUAAUUUCUUGAACCGACCUCAGAAAUUUACCAAGUGAACGUAAUAUUCUAUGCCAGAAACGGAAACCACAUGUUGGACUUAUCCCCCUUCAUUACAAAAUUACAUUCCCUGCUGCAAUGAUAGCUGGAAAAAAAAAUUGGUGCGCUAUUGGCAUUAUAGUAGGGAAGUGCCACUGCAGUAAAUACCACAUGCAUUUUCUGUUUCUGGCAAAAAGAACGUUAGAUUGACUUGGGAAAUUCUGGAGUUCAACUGAAGAAAUUGAAUUUCUUUCAAUCAAAAUUUCAUAAAACUACUUGCAGUAAGCAGCAAAAGUUGCCCAUAGAAAAACGUUGAUCAAACGUUUUUGACAGAGCUACUGAAACACCUUUAAUGCUAUGACACGUGAUAAAUCAAGCAAGUUAAGUACAAUAUACAACUUCAAAAAUCAUUGGAAGAAUUAGACUGUCUAAAUUUGUAGGUCACAUUCUGAGGAGGAGUGUACCACAUUCUGGAAUGCAGUUCUAUGCAAUGCUGUAGUAACAAAUAUGUAGUGUGAAACGGUCCUAACCCUUACCAGGACAUACUAACAAUUAUCAUGCUGUUAAAACUGGCAAAACGUACCACUGUUAUUUUACUGCUAAAGUUGCUAACAUAAUAAAACCUAGACUGCUUUAACACACAAGCCACAACUCAAAGGAACAGAGAACCCCUCUGCAAUACCAACAUGCUGUUCUCUCAACAGCAACAUCACACAUAUCAGCAUGUUUUGACAUUAAAGUGUUAAAUACAUACAGUGCUAGGUAAACACAAAGACAACGGCAAACAAAAAGACAAUCACAUGCACUGAACCACGUUGGUCGUGAUGAUGGAGUCAGAAAAAACAAAAGACAGAUCCGAGGUAGAAAUUAGGUGAUGUAACGUUGAAAUCUGGGCUGGUUGGCAGCAUUCCAUAAAAGUGUGGUUCAGCGCAUGCGUCUGUCCUUUUUGCCCGGCAUUGUCUCUGUCUUCCCAGCAUUUUUCUUCUGCACAGAAUGCUUCCAAUAACCCAAACGUCAACAUUAUAAUUGUAUCACCAAACUUGUAGGUACUUAGACUUCUCUUGAUGUGACUCCAUCAUAACAAGCAGCGUGGCGUAGUGAAUGUGACAAUUCAGCAUUACGGUGGAUGGCUAUGGCAGUUGCCCUUUGCUGUACGCAACAGACAUUGUUCAGGGUUAAUUUUCCACUGUGCAAUUCACCGAACUGUUCACCGAAUCCAACACUUCAUAAGCAAAAAACACACAGAAGCAUAUAAAUAUGUGAUAAAUGGCUAUUUUUCAACCGCCUCAUCCAUGCUUUGAUCCUCUGCUGGUGUAGGUAAUGGCUGCUUGGGGUCCGGGGUAGCAUUAGACGCUGGCACUCCAGCAUCCGUGGCAUCUCCAGCUGACUGCAUGCUGAGGCAGUCUGCCUUGUCCAACGGUUCAGGACUGAUCAUAACCUUAGGGUUGAUGGUGACCGAGUCUGUACAGUUGUAAGUCUUGAAGAUGCCAACCAGGCGGUCAGCAAGUUCGAACAUGUUAUUCCGCAGCGAAAUGAUUAUGAACUGGGCAUUCCGUGUCCUCUCCUAAAGAAAGUCAACAGCGCCAGGGUCGUGUUAACUAAGCCAUAGCAGUUCUAGCACAAAUCUGCUUACCUUGAUAUAAUGUCCGACUAUGGAGACAUUUUUGAAAUCUAAUGCUGCAUCGAUCUCGUCCAUGACGUAGAAAGGUGUUGGCUUAUAGUAAUGCAGUGCAAAGACCAGAGCCAGUGAACUUAGGGUCUUCUCCCCACCGGAGAGGUUGGAGAUAUUCUUCCAAGACUUUUUGGGAGGUCGCACGCUGUGGAGUACAAAACAGAACGCAAUUUUUAAUUCAUUUGUGGCAUUGUUAUUAGAGCUGCGCAAAUAUUCGAAAUGUUGAUUAUGAAACCAAUAUCUGAUGCUAUUCGCAACCUAUUUUCUGUAUUCGAAAUUUUCGAAUAUUUUUCGAAUAGUACUGAAGCGGGGUAUCGCUACCUACUUUACAUUCGGCAGGUCGGCUUCGCCUCAUUACAUCCAAGAGUUAGGUCAAGCCCACUUCACGUUACCACCAUUGUCAUUUUGGUGUGUGGCUUCAUUCUGCAAGUCGGCUUGACCCCAUUACGCUCGAGCGCUGGGUGAAGCCCGCUUUACACUGUUUACAAUUUUCUGUCACUAUAGUCUGCAAAUUUUGAGCUCAUGGUCAACACUGUACUCUGGACAUUGCAGGUUCCAGUAAAUGUACUGAUAUGUAAGUAAGUAAGUAAUGUAAGUAUAUGUACUGAUGUUAAUGGGUGAAAAGGCUCACAUGUUUGGAGCAGAACAUCAUUUAAUGAGCACAAUACCACAAAAUAUUUUACCAUGAGGUAGUAUUCAAAAUUAUUCAAUUUGGGCCUUUCCGAUUAUGUGAAUUUGAUUCGCCAUCUCAAGAAAUGACUGAUUCAAUUCGCAGUGUAAGUGAAUUAUUCGUAAACUACUCGCAAUGAAAAUUUUGCUAUUCGCCCGGCUCUAACUUGUUAUUGCAUCUCUUGCACAACAACGAAGUACUAUUGUGUGGUUGACAGAGCUGAACGGAAAUGGUGAAUUCAUGUUCUCAUGUUCUGUGCUGAGUGAUCUGAACAUCGCAUGUAUCGCAUGAUGAGACUGACCUUUUAGAGCACCCACCCUGUACAUCCAUUUGCUGACCUUGCAUUCUACUAUUCACACACACGCUAAACGAACUUAUGGUUAUGCACACUAAAACAACAGCGAUGUAACACACGUUAGUGUGAGAGUUUCACAUUAGUGUAUGAUCUAACGCACAAACCUGAAUACGAUGCCUUCUGAAAAGGGGUCAAGCGAGUCAACUAAUUCCAGUUCGGCAUCCCCUCCGAGGGUGAUCAUUUGAUACAUUUCCUUCAACUUCGUAGUAAUGAUGCCAAAUCCUGUCAUGAAUUCGUUGAGUCGUUGCUUGCGGAGAUCUUCGUGGUGUUUCCGCUGUUCAUCUCUCUUCUGCGUGACGCUCUCGAGCUCUGCUACACGCUCUUUGUAUGUGGCUUCCUGAAGAGCAGACAUGUGACAAAUGAGUAAGGCAAACAAUGCAUCUUAUGUGUAAUAAUUUGGGGUUGAACUUUCUUGCACAUAACACACUCUUUACAAAUUACAAUUUUCAUAGAACAGUACAUUUGCACAUUAUAUAUAGAAAGGAGUCCCAUAACUAGAACUGUGGCGCAGGGACGUGGACAGAUGAAGAGAUGACAGCAGAAAGGAGUGGGGUUUAGUGUGCGUCCUGGGCCAACUUCAGAUGCAACUGUGCCGACACUCAACGUGCGCAACUGUUUAUUCAAAUGAGAUUGCCCGGAAGUGCCCGGCCAGCAUGGUGCUGGCAUGUCAGCAACAUGUUUAAUGAUUAAGUGUUAAGCUAACUUAUUACUAGGGUUCCGGGUUUUCGGAUUUAUCCGAAAAAAUGUACUUCAGUAAAAUUUUAAGCAAUUCGGAUUAAUCUGAAAAACUCUGCUUGGCAGAUGUUUUCCCUGAUAACCGGGUUAAUGCUAUUGGCCUCCUUUUGUGUCCUGGGUUUCUUCUGACCUCAGAUACCGGCCCUAUCGCAACAUAAUAAUGGUAUGUCUCAGAUGAAUAAUGAAUAAACUGGAAGGAACAACAGUUUACACAAUUCCUUACCUUUCUGCGGAACUCCGAGAUGGCUGCCAUAUUGGGCUUAAUGUUAUCCCGCUUUCCCUCUAGGGUAGCCUUCUCAACAGUUAAGUCCUUUUCAUUGAAUUCUUCGAGUUCCUCAGCAGUGUACUGGGGUAGCUCUACGGGUGCCUCUUCGUCGAUCUUGUGACACUUUAGCUUUUCAAUCUGCAAACAAGUUCAAUAUCACAAUGAAUGAAAAAAAAAUAAUAAUAAUAAUGGUAGCAUCACCAACUCAGUGUACUGUAAGCUGAAUCAACACGCAUGCAGUCCUUCCGUAACAGAGUAGAAUCACGCAAAGUCAGACCCCACGUAUAUAUAGAGCAUCGUGUUUUAGGGUGCAUUCUGGUAAAACCCAAAAGGAAACUUGACAAAAUGCAAAUUCAGCCACCAAUAUGGACACUAAGGACGCUAUGCAAUAGGGUCCUGUGAUGUCGGGUUUUAUUUCAGGAGCCGUAAAACAAGGUAAAAUUGGGAGAUAUUGGGCGGAAAAGCAUAUUUUCAGGUAGAAAAAAAAGAAAAGUGCUUCUCGCAUUUUAGGUCAACAUGAGAUGUGGAACAGCUGUACUGAGUGUCCAAUGCUUAGCAUUCUCCAUUGCCCGUAUUGGUGGUGGAGUUGGCACUUUGCAAGUUCAUGUUUUGGGUUUUACCCAAAGUGAUCAUGAUGCAAGUCGAGGGUAAAAACAGGUUCUAACGGGUUUAGCCCUAUGAGACAGGGCCAAUGUAUACAUGGAGCUUUGUGUUUUAGGGUGUAUCCCAGUAAUACCAGCUUGUUUAACCCCCUCCCCCAAUUUGAAUCAUAAACAUUUUGGGCUUUUUUUUAAUUUUCCACUCGAAAGUCUGCUUCUCCACAGAGUACAUAUAUCGCCAAAUUUUACAGCUCUCGAAACAAAACUUGUCUUUUACCCCCUCAAUAUAUGUAAAAAAAAAAAAGACUAUGAAACCCAAGCAUAGAAGUAUCUAAGUCUACAUUACUUACUUGGUGUUGGCAGCUGUGAACCUUUGCCUGACGCUCCUUCAGGUGGAGUUCUUUUUGUUCCAGGUUGUUUUUCAGCUCAAUGUGCCUCGAGUUAAGAGCAUUCUCGGCUGUCUUUCCUUUAUCCACCUCUGUGUGUACCUGACUUAGCUUCUGCUUUAAUGCCUUCAACUCUUGCUGCAUAGAAGAAAUGACUAUGCACUUUGUCUUUCUUUGUCUCAUACAAUCGCAAAAAGUAACAAAGGCUGCACUCACAUUCAGUGCAUCUAAUUCUGCCUGAUAGCCUUUACCGAUGUCAGCCAUUUGUUCGUAUUCUCGUUUUGCUGCCUCCAGUUUUUCCUUCAGUUCAACAGUUUCUGUUUCUAGGGACGUCACCUUCUCUGCACUCUUUUUUAGGUUUCUGGAACACAAUGCACAUAGAAGCACAGAGUAUGUGUAGGGCCUGACUUUUUAGGGUUAAACCCGUAUCCGCCCGAUAUUUACCCCCCGAACGAAAUCUGUAAAAUUCGGGUUUAACCCAAAUCUACCCGAAAACAUCCGGGUCGCGUGGCACACUCAUAAGCGUGCAUUAAAAUAAAGUUUGAUAACAUUGCUAAACAUUAGUUCCAUGUUAAGACAAAUUUUUAUUUAAAAAAAAAAAUCACCCGAAUACACCCGAAUUCCUGACAACAGAAUAUGCCGUAACGGGAUUUAACCCGAAUACACCCGAAUUUUCAAAUGAAAAAUAUCACCCGAUAUUUACCCCCCGAAUUUGGCCAAAAAUAAAACCCGAAAAAGUCAGGCCCUAAGUAUGUGUUGUUGAAGCUCAAGUUAUAUUGUUGUUUAGCACAUGGUAAGGUAAAGCAGAAGCAGCUCUGCUAAAGUCAUGUUGUUGCUGAUUUGGCCAACGUCUAUGGAAUCCGAUGAUAAUAAGAUGUAUUUUGCAUGUUCUCAGGUGCGGCAAUUGCUCUGGUGCAUUACAGUUUUGUUGAUGAGCUUUAUGGUUAUGAAAAUAACUUUCAUAACAGUGUGUUUAACGUAAUGUGAAAAAAAAAGCACUUGUCUGAACACUAUGGGGUCCACGCUAUUUAGAGCAAGGGUGCUUUUUGCCAUGACCUAUGGGCACUUUUAUCAAAUUUAAUUUGCGAGAAAUCAUAUUCUUCCAAUUGAUCACCAAAAUUUGCAAAGUCAACCUCGUGUUUUUUGUAUGUUUCUUUUUUCUUUUCAGAAACAGAAAGCGCAUGUUGGACUUAGCCCACUGCAUCAUAAAUACAUUCCCUAGUGCUUUGGUAACAGCUGAAAAAUUAAAUUGCAAAAAACGUGGUUUUGAGGCACGUAAAUUGUUGGCUGACGUAAAAAAAAAAAAGCAAAAAAGCGGGCCUGCCAUUCGGCCGAUCUUCUAGCCCCCCCCCCUGUCUGAACAGCUCUGGAAUGGGACAGGUCAAAGUGGUGUCUUUCAGUUGCAUAUGCCUCACUGUUGUCGGUUAUUGUCGUGGCUUGAAUGGGUUUGCACCGUUAUUACCAAAGGUCGAUUACUCAAAGGUCAAUCAAGUGAUCUAAUCAUCUGUACCCACCUUUCAGCAGUUUUGAUACCCGUUGUUGCCCGUGUUAUUUGCAUGGACGUUGCAUCUAGUUGGUUGGUAAUACUGUCUAAAUUUUGCUGCACGUUUCCCAUACGACUUUCAGUAAUCUCCAUAAUUUUGGAAUGCAAGCUGCAGAAAGAAACGUCAAUCAAGUCCCUUUCAGACAACUCAAGCGCAGGUGCCAGUUAAUCUUGAAGAGACACUUACUCUUGCACUUUCUUCUCGACUUUCUUCCAUCCAGAAAGUGUUUUGUCAUAAACUGCAAAAGGAAGCGUUUACUAGCAUGUAGUUAAAGAAAGAGAUAGGGUCUGCUCAGAGAUUGAAAAAAAAAAGAGAAAGUUCGAAAACUAUAUGCCGAAUGUUAUGCUUGAAAUUCUGGCAUUACCUUUUUUGUAUUCAGUGACACUCUCCUUUAAAGUGGUCAGCCGGUUAGAGUCUGGAGCAGCUCGAUGCACGCGUUCCUCUUGUUCGGCUAGUUGUUUUGAUAAGGAACACUGUUGGCUUUGCAGCCCCUGCGAGCCAAAAAUGAAUUUUGAGAAGAGACUUCAAACUGAACGAAAAACAUAGCACCUUGACUUCCAGUUGGAACUUCUGCAGCGAGUGCUUGGAAGCGGUAACUUCCUUCCGUUGGCUGGAAAUCUUGCCCUCGAGUACACUCCUGCUGCCACGCAGGUCAGUAAUUCGUCCCUCCAGGUUCUUCACGGCUUGAGCGAGGGCUUCAACCUCUUCUGGAGAUGCAGUGUCUUCUACAACAGCACGACCCAUCCUGCCCUUGGAGACACGCCCACCACCACCACUCAUUGUGCCUUUCCUGCCCUAGUUGUUUCAACUGCUUCUCUUGCUGAGGGACGAGUUUUUCCAGUCGAGACAGCGCACUUAAGAAAAAAAAAAAAGUAAGUACAAUGGUGUACAAACACUGCAGCAGUACAACAGGAGCGUUUACCUUGAUUUCUCAUUCAAGCUUGAUGUUGCUGAAUCGAGAUUGUCUUUGAUUUCCUGCAACCGCGUCGUUUCUCUUCGCUCUGUGCUGACGUACAGGUCUAGUUCCGCUUGAGCAAUGUCAUACUGUUAAAAAAGUAAAUUAUCAGAUAUGUCUAGCAAGAAAUUACACAAAGGUACAUUGCUGGAUGUAAGGGGGUUUAAAGUAUGGCUUUUAUAAAUGAUACGUUCUUGAAAGCCUCAUAGAAAUCACUUAUAUAGGGCAAUAAUUGUCAUACAGUACAACGUUUGCAACUACUGCAAAAUAAAAACGCAUAACAAAUAGCACGUAACAUACGGUUGUCAUACCACGAUAAGUAUCUCAACGUUAUGGCAGAAGACAACUGCAUGGCAGAAAUCGCUGUUUGAAAUUGGGGUGGCACUAAUGAAGCCGGUAAUUUUAAAUAAGUAGGGGAGUGCGAAUAUUCGAGUUCCCAAAUUCGAAUAAAAUAUCAAUCACUCGGAAGUAUUCGACCCACGAAUCGAAUAUUUAAUGUUAGGUUUUCAGAAUAUUCGCCGAAUAUGAUGACAGCUCCCGAAGGUGGGCUUCCCUGCAUGAGAUGAAGCCUGCUUUACAAAAUUAAAGCCUGCUUUACAAAAUUGCCAAAGUUGCAAGACCAACACAGAUGGAUUGCAGUUUAGCUUAAGCUAACGUUAGCCCAAGUUUAUUGUGCAUACUUCGCCUGAGAAAGGGGCUUUGUGUAAGCCUCAUCUGUGUAACACGCCACUGCAUGACAUCAAAUUUUGAAAUCAAGAUAAUUACCGCAGUAUAUUCUCACCUGAGAGCAGGAAAUACUAUGAUGUGGCAUUAAAGAGUAGGGGCUUCCCACAGAAGGAUUACAUGUCUUGUGUGACAGUGAAUGCCAGAAAAGUUACACUAAAAUCAUGGGCUAGAAAUUGCAAACUUUUAGUGAAAAAAGCGUGUAUUGUAAGCUUUGCACGACUAUUCAAUAUUCACUUCAGUAGUCGACAUUUUUUCCUCCAUUAGAUUCAAUAUUCGAUUAGACUUCAAAUAGUAUUCGGAUUUGUACACCCCUAUAAACAACUGAAUCAGUGUUUUGACAACAGCUAGUUAAUAAAUCAGCCAAGUACUGUAUAUACUGCAAAGUAAUGUGAACAUCAGCAUACAACAUACAGGGUGUUUGCUCUAAUGUGUCCAGAAAUUUUAUUUAAAGCGAGCGAUAAAAGAG